CUCCGUCAGUUGCACCACAUCAGCUUUCUAAAGAUAACGCGGCCAUUAAGAAAAGUAUCUUCAAGUUUGUUUGAUUUUACUAUUUUCUCUCUGAGCUCGCGUGACGCUUUUACCUGUACGACAUUCUUGGGGAACACGGACUCAAAAUUGUCUUGAAGGAAAACGAAAGUUGUGCCUGCGAUGAAAUGCAUUCGUACCUGAGGCUAUUGUACAUGCUAGUGUGAAUCGGUAAACCGUAUCUAUCGGAACCAGUUUCCUCUCGAUAGACCCAAGUCCCGCCGAUUUGAUCCGUUUUCUCGUAGCAUACUACUUGGUCGUUAACGCGAGCAGAACUUUCAGCGAAAAUGAUCGAUAAUCUAUUUCGUAAUUAACGGAGCACGGUAAUAUUUAUUUUAUAAUAGACGAGUCAAAACCUAACAACACAUAUUCAAAAAACAUCUAGAGAACAUUCAGGAUAUUUUAAAUCUUCUGGAUGUCCUCUGGAGGUCUUUUAAACGUGUAUGUUGUUAGGGGUAUCUUGGACCUGUCGCGUUUACUCAUAUCAUUCUUGGCCAAUCGGGAGGCAACUAAAAUUAAAUAAUAUGGAAUAUAAUAUCUUGUUUUUAUUUUUAUAUCACAAAAAAAUAGUCUCCAUACUGGUUAAGAAUGAUAAAAGUUAUCUGUUUAUUUGCGAUUUAGUUCGCGAGAAGCCGUUAUCUUUAAAUUAUUUUAAUUGGAAUAUGCUUUAGUUAUUACUAAUUGAUCAUGUGAAAAUUGAUACAAUAGUAGUUUGAAUGAGCUAUAUGUAUAUAGUUGCAAAAGAGAUUACACUCAUAUAUAAUUACUAUAAUUUCCUGUUUGAAAUUGGAUGAUCCAGAAUAAACGAUUCGUUCAGAAGCUGAUUACAUUGGGUGUAAUAACACAUUGGAUUUGCUAGAAAUAGAUGCUCUACAUAUAUAUAAGUAACAUCACGUUCAAUUAAAUGUGAUAAGACGAGAUAGAGAUAAGACGUCACAAUGUUAAUCAAAUUUAAAAUAACUUUCGAUAAAAUACAGUAUAAUUACACUUUACUCACACG